GUUAUUACACUUAAAAAAGGAUUGCAGAUUUCCGCGCAGUCCGAACUACCUGUACUAAAACCACCAUAACUUCCUCUAGAAAAAUGAUAUUCAUGAACCGUAAAAUUUCCCAGAAAAUAGACAUCCAUAGCUUUCCAAACAUAUAUGGUUCAGCUUCUGGUUCUUAGUGAGUCAAUACAGUAUAAUCCAUGAACUUGACUGAUCUGCACAGGCGUUUCAAACUCAACUUUCUAUUUUUAGCUUAUUUUCCACCAUUUGCUUGUGAUUACCUAAAAAAGUAAUAAAAGAAUGUAAAACCUAUAUAAAAGAGUAAAAUAAUGGUGUAAACAUGGAGAAAUAUCAUAGAUAAAUGUCGAAUUUAUGAGCACAUCACUCUCUCUCUCUCUCUCUCUCUCUCUCUCUCUCCUCUGGCUACAUAAAUAAUAGAUCUCAAUCGGUUGCGGUAGGCAACGGAAUUGGUAUCUGAGUACUAUAACCGAUACCAUCACUGGUUGGUCCGUUGUCUAACCGCAAUUACAUUGACUUUUUGGCUAACCACAGUUUGUCGACAGAAAAAAUUGGUUGGUAACUGGCGGUUUGCAGUGCAACUGCACAGCCCUAGCUCCUUCCCUUACUCUUUAUUUUAUUUAUUUUAGUUUCAUUUUUUUCAUUAGCAAGGGCAGAUGCACGUUGGAAAGAGAGGGUCGCACGACCCCUUGGAAUGUUGGAAAUAUCGAUGAAGGCUUCAUGAGUGACACUUUGGACAGCAGCGAAGCAACCCCUUGUGUGCACACAAGGUGUUCGAUGAAAGUCCCCUGCGGGGCUUGACUUGCACUGCAUGCGCGAGUCUAAUAUUUUUUUUAAAAGCCUAAACGAUGUCGUUUGAUCCUAUCACGGCCCGAUUCAAAAAUAAGGAAUUUUCCCGAAUCAUGGUGUGAGUCAUACCGUAGUCAUAAUAAUAAAAUCCUACAACCAUGAUAUGAUGAGAAAAAGAGCCACAAAUAAUACAAAUUUACUUAACAACACAAAAUUAGAGUUGCAGUUGCUCGUAGUUAAAUACACACUAAGAUCUUUAUCAAACGGUUGACUACUUACAAACAUUGAUUACACAAAUCAACAACAAAAGCCUAGCAGCUUAGUUGAAACCCGCUUCCUCAAACUUCGCCUUAAAUUUUGCACAAUCUAUUAGGGUAUAAGCAUUCUAAUGUCCAGUAGAAUACCGUCAAACCCCUCAAGGUUAGCUAUUACAAUUAAUCAAAGUAUCAUGCAUCAAACAACACAAGAUACAUAAUAUAUGCAACCAGACCAGAUAAGUAAAUUUGCAUAUACGGUGAUGCCAUAAACUCACUCCCUUCUAAUCCCACUAAUUCAUACCUUAAGGCAACAAGCAUGUUUGUCCCGUACAUGCGUUUUACCACUGUGGCUCCGAAUACCCUAAACCUAGCCCAUCUGUUCCUUAACCCAUUUUUCUUUUGUUUACGAAUUUCUCAACUUUCACUUUUCAUUAGAGGCUCUGCUCUCAUCAUCUCAAUAUAUUCAAGCCUUAUUCCCGUCACUUGAAUAUAUUCCACAUUUUUACUCAUAUAUAUCUAAGGCAUUCUCCCACCCCUUAGAUUUACCUUAAACGACACACACACCCCAAAUACUACUGUAUUUAUGAUGCAUAUGUAAUGCAGGGAAAACAUCAUUUAUCUAUGCAGAAUAAUAAUACAAAUAAUAACAAUAAUAUUUCAGGCUUAAUCAUAUGAAUAAUAAUAUUCACUCAACGUCAAAAAUAAUAUCCAUGGAGAAACAUCAAUAAUAAUAUUCACAAACAUCAAAUAAUAUUCACCGAGUAAAGCAACAAUAAUAUAAAUAUUUAUAGUACCAUAUAUAAGCACCAAGAUUAAAAGUGACAUAGCCGAAUCAUCGAGAAAUCAGAAAACCUUACCUCACGUCCGACUAGUUAGAUUACCGAAUUAUCCUUCCAAUUCUUCUAUUUCCACUCGAGCCUCAAUCGAACAAUAAGGACAAAUAAUAAUUAGUACUUUUGCUUAACAUAAUUUUUGGUCAAAUAGUUACAGGUCUCGGAUGGUAUUGAAACCAAUGUUAACGGACUUAAAAGGAAAAACCAAGCUGGGGAGGAUGACAAACGACACCAACAUUGCACCACAUGUGUUGAACACACAUAUGACAACUGCAUGAUACUAUUCAUCGUCUUCCUCGAAAGACCAUUUUUUCCCCUGUUUUCCAUUUUAUUUUUGGCAUAACUAACAAUAGUAAAACUUUGCAAGACUAUACUUAAAUUGAAGCUUGUAACCUUAGCUUUCUAUACAUAUAAAGAUUUGUGAAAAUGGAGCUCAGGUUAGUGAGAAAUUCGAACCCAAAGACAGACCCAAAAAAUCUGAAUUUUCGUUUUCCAGCUUCCUCUAUUUUGGCAAUUUUGAAAACCUAACUUCACUUCAAUAUUUGAUCCCCCAAAACUUAACCAAAAUCAGUGAAAUCAAAAAGGUUUUGUACUUUGCUAUUCCUAGUUUCCAAAACAUCAAAACCUUUCAAAAAUUACUUCACAGAUCAAAGGAACACAAGAGCCAAAGUAAGGUCCAUGAACUGAAAUUUCUAGAAAAAUACUAAGUUUCAGAAUUUUCUCAAAAGUCUCUUUCAACACAUCUCAAAUACCAUCCUUAAGGCUCGAAAUCAUACUCCAACAUCAUAUCCUUGGCCAAAGCUUCCUAAAAACAAGAUUUGGAUCUAAAGUUUGAACAACCAAACCCAAACAUUUAUUAGCACACCCAAAAUCUGAAAAUCUUGAUUUCAAAAUUCUUCUUUUGAUUUUCUUAUGCCUUAAAAGGUUCAUAAAUCAUUCUCCAACUCAAAUACAACUACAAAUCUACUCAAACAAUUAAUUAUACAAAAACUCAAGAAUUGAAAAUGAACUUAGAACAAGAAUCCCACCUUUCAUCCUUCCAAUUGCUUUAACACUUAACCAUUUUCUUUUCUACCUAUCACAUUUCUUUCUUAAUUCUCUCAUGGAUGUAAUAGUAAUAACCUCCAUCUUUUUCUUCUUCUUCUUCUUCUUCUUCUCUCUCUCUCUCUCUCUCUCUCUCUCUCUCGC
rnacentral:lncRNA from 1 species